rnacentral:lncRNA from 1 species
CUCCCACUGACUCAGGGGACAGUCCUGGAUCCAAGAAACAAGCUCCUUCUCUAUGUCCCUAUGGUGCUCUAGCCAUCUUUUGUAAAGCUUGACCUUAUAGUUCCGGUACAACUUCUCAAUCUUCUGCAGUCAGACAUCUCGAGUCCUCUCAUGAUCUAGGAAGUCGUACAUCCUUUGCACAAAGUUAUCAGAAGUUAGUUACGAAAUUAUUCUAAUUAAAUAUAGUGCAAACAUAUCACAUGCAUACAUACAUACAUACAUACAUACAUACAUAUAUAUAUAUAUAUAUAUUUAAGAUACACUUAUCCAAAUCUCCUUUCACAUCCGAUCUUUGACACUAGUGUCCAUCAAUCGCCAGUCUAUGAGCAGUACAGGAAUGAUGUCUGACAGCCUCACAAGUACGUUAAAAAAGAAAUACAUCUCCCGUGCGGUUUUCUCUCCUGACCUUCCUUCCUGAUCGUACUCCACUAUGACUUGAUGUUGGCGGUUCCACACAUGCGGCAUGCAUGUGGGAUCGCAAAAUAUCCUAUUAGAUGAUACACCUAUAAUAAAAAUAUAUUACAAAUAUUAGAGCUAUCAAGACGGAUUGGUCCAUCCCAAUCUGACCCACCCCGUCCCACCCCGACCCGCCUCUAAAUGGGUCGGGG